ACUUUGAAGAGAGAGUUCAAAAGGGCGUGAAACCGCUUAGAAGAAAACGGACGGAACCGUCUGACGCCCUCGGGAAUCAGUCGAACGACGCACGAACGCGUCUCGAUCGUCGGAGCGUAAAAGUCCGGCUCGAGGCGUCUAGUAGUCGCGUUCGUAAGGCGCAUUUCUCGAGGGUUAGCGCCGCGACCGAUGCGAACGGCCGACGACGCCGUCGAGUUGAGGUCGAACGCCCUUCGCGGGUAUUCGUAACCAGCUCGUUCGGUUCGAUCGUUGGAUCUAUAAUGUAAAGCAUCGAGCGAAUACUUAAUAAAUACGUCGGCGUAAAACGCUCGACGAGCGGCGGAGACUCGGCCAGUCGUUCGAUACCUGCUCGCAGGUGCUCGUUCGGCGCGAGGUCGUUUCCCGAUGUCGCCGUCGACGCUACCGACGUUUAGGCGUCCGCGGCGUCCGAGACGGUCACCCGUCCGACCCGUCUUGAAACACGGACCAAGGAGUCUAACGUACGCGCGAGUUAAUGGGCGGAAAACCCAUAAGCGCAAUAAAAGUAAAAGUCGUCCCGAGACGGCCGAGGUACGAUCCUAGACUACGCGUCUAGGCGCAGUACCGUCCCGUCCCGACCGCACGUCGGUAGGGCGGAGAUUGAGCGCGUGCGUUGGGACCCGAAAGAUGGUGAACUAUGCCUGAGCAGAGCGAAGCUAGAGGAAACUCUGGUGGAGG
rnacentral:rRNA from 1 species